UGUCUGGACAUGUUCAUAAUUGUCACAGCCGUACACCACAUCGGACCUAGUUUUCCACCUGUUGUGAAUUAUCCUGCUCCAAAAGAAUCCUCCGAAAAAUGACCUCCUCAUCGUAUCGCAGCUCGGAUCGCCGUACCAGCCGCCGGUAUGACGAAGAUGGCGACCGGCACCACCGGCACCGGUCGAGAAGUGUGGACCGGUGCCACCGGAGCCGGCGCAGCCGUUCCGAUUCGCGGGAUCGCUACCGGCGCAAUCGUUCCGCUUCCCGGUCGCCGCGUGGACGGUCGCGCCAUCGGAAGGGCUCCACUGCGCCGAACGCCUCGCGCAGCCGGAUCCGGGUCGAUUCGCCGGAACCGAGCCGUUGCUUGGGCGUGUUCGGGCUGAGCGUGUACACGACGGAGCCGUACCUGAACGAUAUCUUCUGCCACUUUGGCACGGUGGAAAAGUCGGUAGUGAUCUACGACGCCAAGACACGGCUGUCGCGCGGGUUCGGUUUUGUGUACUUCAAGUCGCAGGCCGAGGCAUCGAUCGCGCGUGCGAACUGCAACGGGCUGCAGAUCCAUGGCCGGCGUAUUCGCGUCGACUACUCCAUCACGGAUCAGCCCCAUCCGCCCACGCCGGGCGUGUACAUGGGCCGAAGGCAGUACAGCCACUCUCCGUCCCCGCGGAACCGAUCACACCACGAAGAGCAUCGACGCCGCCGCCGAUCUCGCUCGUAUUCCCGUUCGUCCUAUGAGAGUCAUUGAGGCCCGACGGUAGCAGGAGCAUGUGCCGGACAAUAAUGUAAGUCGAAAAAGUAGAAGUCUUGAACACAGAAAUGUCGAACUGUUCAGUAGUGUACACAGGGAAAAAGUCAAAGAAAUAACGAAAAUGUUGUUGUUAUUUGCCGUGUUUGUGCAAACUAAUUUAAAUGCUAAGGGAAAAGUCAAGAGAAAAGACACAUAUUUGUCUUUCCUUACAAGCAUGUGAAAAAGACUGCCUUUCAUUUGCAUCAAUGUUUUCCGGAAGAAGGAGCAUCGUGGGCAGUGUGGAUGCAACGAAAAGGUUUCAUUAUUUAACUUCAUUCAACAUCUCUCUGUACUCAUCGAUCGAUCUCUGUACUAUCUCGUUGAUAAUAU